rnacentral:rRNA from 1 species
AAUGAACGUUGGCGGCGUGGAUUAGGCAUGCAAGUCGAGCGCUCAUAGCAAUAUGGGAGCGGCGAACGGCGUAGGAAUUCAUAGGAACGUACCCUCAGGUCGGGGAUAGCUACGGGAAACUGUAGGUAAUACCCGAUGAUCUCUGCGGAGCAAAGGUGUGAUUCCGCCUGAGGAGCGGCUUAUGUGAUAUUAGCUAGUUGGUGGGGUAAUGGCCUACCAAGGCGAAGAUGUCUAGGGGGUGUGAGAGCAUGGCCCCCCACGACCGGAACUGAGAUACUGUCCGGACACCUACGGGUGGGCUGCAGUCGAGAAUCUUCCGCAAUGGACGAAAAGUACUGACGGAGCGACGCCGCGUGCGGGAGUGAAGGCCCUU